AAGAUUCCUGCUGUUUCAGUGGAACUCCUGCAUGGUGCUAUUUACUUAUCCCAUGGUACCAAUUGUGGUUUGGUUUUACCAUGGGCUGCAGAUGGAUCUGUGCUCCACUGUGGACCCUCAUGGGCUGCAAAGGGACAUCUGCCUCACCACGGUCUUCACCACAGACUCUGGGAGAAUCUCUACCUCUUAAUGUUGAAUAGAGGUCAAAUACAGGAAAUGGAAGGACUAUGGAAGUUAAUGAACAAAUAUAGAGAACAAACAUGAAAUGGGAGGAAUGAUCUCAGCUUGCUGCCUCUGGUUCUGUUUUACUUGCAGGAGCAGCCCAUGCAGAGAAGCCUAUGCAGAAGCAGAUUUUCUGGCAGAAGCUGUGUUGCAUGGAAAAGACCCAUAUCAGAACAGUUCAAGAAGGAUAGCAUCCUGUGGGAGAAACCUGAUGCUGGAGCAGAGGAAGGGUGUGAGGAGGAAGGAGUGGCAGAGAGAAAACAUUAUGAACUGACUGCAGCUCUGUUUUCUAUCCACCUUGGCUGCAUGAUCAGGAGGAGGUAGAACAGUCAGGAGUGAAGCUGAGCCUGGAAAAAAUCAGGAGUAGAGGUGGGAGGGGAGAGGGUUCCUUUGUCACUGUCUUACUCUAUUACAAAUAGCUGUCAGUAAAUUAAACUUUUUUCCCUGUGUCUAGUCUGUUUUGCCCAUGAUCUCCCUGUCUUUAUCCCAACUCAUGAGCUCUUGCAUCAUACUUUCUCCCUGUAUCCUGUUGAAGGGUGUAAGAGUGAGAAAGCAGCUUGGUGGGCACCUGGUAGCCAGCCAAGGUCAAUCCACCACACACAGUGAAGAUCUAUCCAGAUCUUAUAAUUGAUGAGCAAUGCAGACAUUUACCAAGAUAAAGAGAUACAAACAAAACAAUUUUUGUGAAUGUGUUCUAAAUGA